AUUGAACGCUGGCGGCAGGCCUAACACAUGCAAGUCGAGCGGAUGAAGGGAGCUUGCUCCUGGAUUCAGCGGCGGACGGGUGAGUAAUGCCUAGGAAUCUGCCUGGUAGUGGGGGAUAACGUCCGGAAACGGGCGCUAAUACCGCAUACGUCCUGAGGGAGAAAGUGGGGGAUCUUCGGACCUCACGCUAUCAGAUGAGCCUAGGUCGGAUUAGCUAGUUGGUGGGGUAAAGGCCUACCAAGGCGACGAUCCGUAACUGGUCUGAGAGGAUGAUCAGUCACACUGGAACUGAGACACGGUCCAGACUCCUACGGGAGGCAGCAGUGGGGAAUAUUGGACAAUGGGCGAAAGCCUGAUCCAGCCAUGCCGCGUGUGUGAAGAAGGUCUUCGGAUUGUAAAGCACUUUAAGUUGGGAGGAAGGGCAGUAAGUUAAUACCUUGCGGUUUUGACGGUACCAACAGAAUAAGCACCGGCUAACUUCGUG
rnacentral:rRNA from 1 species